AAUGAACGCUGGCGGCAGGCCUAAAACAUGCAAGUCGAACGCCCUAGCAAUAGGGAGUGGCGCACGGGUGAGUAACAUGUGGGAAUAUGCCUUUUGGUACGGAACAACGUUUGGAAACGAACGCUAAUACCGUAUGGUCCCUCCGGGGUAAAGAUUUAUCGCCAAAAGAUUAGCCCGCACUAGAUUAGCUAGUUGGUAAGGUAAUGGCUUACCAAGGCGACGAUCUAUAGCUGUUCUGAGAGGAAGAUCAGCCACACUGGGACUGAGACACGGCCCAGACUCCUACGGGAGGCAGCAGUUAGGAAUAUUGGACAAUGGGCGCAAGCCUGAUCCAGCCAUGCCGCGUGAGUGAUGAAGGCCUUCGGGUUGUAAAGCUCUUUAGCCGACGAAUAUAAUGACUGUAGUCGGAGAAUAAGCCCCGGCUAACUUCGUGCCAGCCGCCGCAGUAACAC
rnacentral:rRNA from 1 species